rnacentral:rRNA from 1 species
GACGAACGCUGGCGGCGUGCUUAACACAUGCAAGUCGAACGAAGUGGCGAACGGGUGAGUAAUACGUGGGUAACCUGCCCUCAUUUUUGGGAUAAGCCUUGGAAACGGGGUCUAAUACCGAAUAAAGGGGGAUGGGCUCGCGGCCUAUUAGCUUGUUGGUGGGGUGAUGGCCUACCAAGGCGGUGACGGGUAGCCGACCUGAGAGGGUGACCGGCCACAUUGGGACUAAGAUACGGCCCAGACUCCUACGGAAGGGAGCAGUGGGGGAUAUUGCACGAUGAGCGAAAGCCUGAUGCAGCGACGCCGCGUGGGGGAUGAGAGCGUGCGGGUUGUAAACGUCUUUCGCUAUCGUACGGGUAGGUGGAGAAGAAGCGCCGGCUAACUACGUGCCAGCAGCCGCGGUAAUUC